GUUUCCGUAGUGUAGCGGUUAUCACGUUCGCCUCACACGCGAAAGGGCCCCGGUUCGAUCCCGGGCGGAAACA